AGCAGUCGCCGCGGGAAUACGAAGGGGGCUAGCGUUGCUCGGAAUUACUGGGCGUAAAGGGAGCGUAGGCGGACAUUUAAGUCAGGGGUGAAAUCCCAGAGCUCAACUCUGGAACUGCCUUUGAUACUGGGUGUCUUGAGUGUGAUAGAGGUAUGUGGAACUCCUAGUGUAGAGGUGAAAUUCGUAGAUAUUCGGAAGAACACCAGUGGCGAAGGCGACAUACUGGAUCAUUACUGACGCUGAGGCUCGAAAGCGUGGGGAGCAAACAGGAUUAGAUACCCCAGUAGUCCCUGUCUCUUAUAC
rnacentral:rRNA from 1 species